rnacentral:rRNA from 1 species
GGGAUUAGUGGCGGACGGGUGAGUAACACGUGGGAACGUGCCCUUUGGUUCGGAACAACUCAGGGAAACUUGAGCUAAUACCGGAUGUGCCCUUCGGGGGAAAGAUUUAUCGCCAUUGGAGCGGCCCGCGUCUGAUUAGCUAGUUGGUGGGGUAAAGGCCCACCAAGGCGACGAUCAGUAGCUGGUCUGAGAGGAUGAUCAGCCACAUUGGGACUGAGUCACGGCCCAAACUCCUACGGGAGGCAGCAG